AAAGAUGGCGCCGCGGAGGGUCAGGUCGUUUCUGCGCGGGCUCCCGGCGCUGCUACUGCUGCUGCUCUUCCUCGGGCCCUGGCCCCCGGCGAGCCACGGCGGCAAGUACUCGCGGGAGAAGAACCAGCCCAAGCCGUCCCCGAAACGCGAGUCCGGAGAGGAGUUCCGCAUGGAGAAGUUGAACCAGCUGUGGGAGAAGGCCCAGCGGCUGCAUCUUCCUCCCGUGAGGCUGGCCGAGCUCCACGCUGAUCUGAAGAUACAGGAGAGGGACGAACUCGCCUGGAAGAAACUAAAGCUUGACGGCUUGGACGAAGAUGGGGAGAAGGAAGCGAGACUCAUACGCAACCUCAAUGUCAUCUUGGCCAAGUAUGGUCUGGACGGGAAGAAGGACGCUCGGCAGGUGACCAGCAACUCCCUCAGUGGCACCCAGGAAGACGGGCUGGAUGACCCCAGGCUGGAAAAGCUGUGGCACAAGGCGAAGACCUCUGGGAAAUUCUCCAGCGAAGAACUGGACAAGCUCUGGCGGGAGUUCCUGCAUCACAAAGAGAAAGUUCACGAGUACAACGUCCUGCUGGAGACCCUGAGCAGGACCGAAGAAAUCCACGAGAACGUCAUUAGCCCCUCGGACCUGAGCGACAUCAAGGGCAACGUCCUGCACAGCAGGCACACGGAGCUGAAGGAGAAGCUGCGCAGCAUCAACCAGGGCCUGGACCGCCUGCGCAGGGUCAGCCACCAGGGCUACAGCACUGAGGCCGAGUUCGAGGAGCCCAGGGUGAUUGACCUGUGGGACCUGGCGCAGUCCGCCAACCUCACGGACAAGGAGCUGGAGGCGUUCUGGGAGGAGCUCAAGCACUUCGAAGCCAAAAUCGAGAUGCACAACCACUACCAGAAGCAGCUGGAGAUUGCGCACGAGAAGCUGAGGCACGCAGAGAGCGUGGGCGACGGCGAGCGUGUGAGCCGCAGCCGCGAGAAGCACGCCCUGCUGGAGGGGCGGACCAAGGAGCUGGGCUACACGGGCGCUCCCGUGAGACGCGGGGAUGGAAUGCUAGCGUGCACCUAGCUUCACCUGACCACGGCAAAGCUCGGUGUUGGUUAAGAAAGCCGUGUGGCACUGCCUGAGGCACCCGCACCGUUGGAGCAGAGGUCAGGGCCGCUGAGAGAAGGGACCUUCGAAUCGGCGUCUUAACAGUCUCCAGUGUCCACGCGUUGACUGCCGUGUGUGACUCCAGUCGGCGUCUCAACAGUCUCCAGUGUCCACGCGUUGACUGCCGUGUGUGACUCCAGUCGGCAUCUCAACAGUCUCCAGUGUCCACGCGUUGACUGCCGUGUGUGACUCCAGGAAACUGCGGGGGAAGGAUCACUUGAACGCAGGAGGCUGAGGCUGCACGUCACAGGGAGAGACGGGCCGCGGUGAUGUACGAGCUUCCUGUUGAUAGGCAGUUAAGUUGGUUCGGGAUAACGUGGCCUGCCUGGCACGGGUAUUCCCAGAGUCACAGAUGCUCACCCGUGCCAGCGUUGGCUGCUUGGGACAUGGGGACGGUGAGGUCCCCACACCCCACAUGUGAGCUGCUGGUAGCUGGGCUGAGCCCAGGUCCCAUCCGUGUGUGGGGCGUGAGUGUGCGGUGCCAUCGGGUCUGCACGGGCCCCGCCUCGUCCCGGACGCUCCAGGCUUCCUGCGGCACAGGUGCCGAGAGGGACCAGCCUGGGCCUGCUGAACAGAGGGGGUGGUCUAGGGCAGAGGCUCCUGCUCUGACAAAAGGGAAGGUGAAAGGCAGGAGCACCAGGAGGGGCAGCACGAGGACAGGGCGUGGGGUGGCAGCCGAAUGGGUGGUGUAGCUCGAGGGCAGUGGGCCAAGGCCGGGGCAGUCUCAGGCCCAGGGAUGGAAGCCCCAUGCAGGCACAGGUUGGAGUCCUGGGUGCCUGAGACACGAUGGCCCGUGUGCUCCACCUCCUCACAUCUUCAACAGCUUUGCAGAGAUGACCCUGUUGGGCUUUGGCUGCCGGUCACAACUCCAGGGGAAGGUCAGGCUUCCUGUUCAGUUUGUCCAGUCACAGCUCUGGCCUUGAGUGGCUGUCCUGGGCCAAGGGCAGCUGCCCUGAGAUCAGAGCGACCCCGCCUUGGCCAGCAUCAUCCCUUCCCACGGCUCCUCCACCACACAACUGGGACCCAUGGGUGCCAGAUACAGCGUGGGCCAUCACAGCCUCCCCGGGCACUCUGCUGGAGACCUGGGUGUACCUGAGCCCCAUACCACGCCCCCCCCGUGGUGCCCUGGCUAGGUCUGACUCUGACCCCUGCUUCCUGGCUUCCCACAGCCGUGGGACCAGCCCCAGCCCCACAUCCACACUCUUCGUGUGGCCAUUUCCUCAGGACAUGGCCUGGCCACUCCAUCGUGCCGAGAGGAUGUGGCCCAAGGCACACCCAGACACACUGGGUCUAGGCUCCAAACCCGCCCCCACAGCCCCACGAUCCCAUCAGCAGCAGAGGGGCUGACCCUUUCUCCCACUUUGUGAACAGGAAGCCUGAGCUCCAGCAAGCUAGGGUCACGGGGAGGGGUGGGGCUGUGCCACCCAGGUUGCGUGUCUGAGCUGGUGCAUGUGGCCAGCCCCGGAGGUGGACAUCUCAACUCUGCCACCCUAAGGGCCCGACACGGCUGCAGCCCUGGAUCAGGGUGCAGGCCAUGCCUUGCCCCAACUUGCAGCUGAAAGUCUUGUCCAUGGACCCUCCAGGCUGAGAGCCCAGCCCUGCCCUGUCUGUCAGAAUGCUCCCCAGGGCCUUUGCGUCUAAGCGGGAGAUCUCUGUCCUGGCCCCAGCUGGCUCCGGUUGACCCUGCAUCCUGCCACCUUGACGCCAAGCAUCCUCAGCAGUCACAUGCGGAGCGGGGGCGCCAGGAGGGCCAGUGCUCUGAGCCUGCCCACUGAGGGCCCCGCUGAGCAGCAGUGGCAGCUGCCUGCCAUACCCGGGGCAGGCCAACCACAGACUCUCUGGGUCCUUGGUGGGCUCCUGGGGGAGGAGCGGGGGAAGGACGGGCAGGAAGAUGAAAGAAAGGGAUGAAUACGGAUGCAGCCAGGCAGAGCAGAGAGCCCCAUCUCCAGGAGCAAGGCAGGGGGCCCACCCGGUGCUUCCUCCUGCCACAGGGGUUGAGGGCAUGCAGGACGCCCACCACCUAUGCACAUAGCCCCGUCACCUCACCCACCCCCAAGCCACAGCACCGCACCGACGCAGGAGGAAGCCCCAACCCCGUGCCACCAAGGAAGGCAGCUCUGCUCGCCCCAACCCCGAGCACCCCCAGGUGAAGACAUCAGACCCAUGUCCAGGAGCAGAAACCAGGAGAGAGAGAAAAUAGGCAUUGUCAGAAACAGAACAGUCACAAUUUUAAGCUCUUUACAUGACUGGCUGUAAUAGGUCCCAAGAAAUGGAGCAGUCAGGUGGCUGGGAGAGUCCAGGCUCCGUCCCCAGGUGCAGGGUGGCGGUGGCCCAGGCAGGACAGCCGGGAGGCGGGGAGGGGAUGCCGGGAGUGUCUGAGCCGCCAGUCUCAGGAGCGGGCAUGGUGCCGACAGUGGGAGCGGGCACUGGCUCCUGGCUCUACAGGGCCGCAACACCCAGGUGAAGGGAUGAGCAUUUUGCCAGGACACGGCUGACAUCUGUGCAGUCACCCCCAGGGUGAGAGGGCAGUUUGCAUCCCAGGCACCACAAACCAUGCUCCCAAACUCCUGGGCAGCGGCCUCUGCCUGAGACGCCACAGCAGCAACCAGAGCUGCCUGAUGCCUGGAAGCAGGGCCUCAGUCGGCCUGGGGUCCAGAGCAACUCUUUCAGGCCGAAGGAAGGGUCAGCCCCAGACACCUGCGAGGCAGGAGGCCUGGCCGUGGGCCCUGAAAACUUCCUGUUUGCACCAUGGCCCCGAGACCGGCCAUGCCUGCUCCUGCGACUGGGGGCUCCCGGGGGACCAGACCACGGCCAACAGAAGGGGCCGGCCUGCCGGGGGCCACGGGGCCGCACAGCGCACCGGGUUUGCGGUCAGCUCCUGGCGCUGUGACCUCACUGCGGGGCUGCCUUCCUCUGCUCCAGCUCCGACAGCUGCUCCUCCCGGGCCUGUGCGUGCCGCGUCCCCACUCUGUGCGCCGUCUCGGUGGCCGUGAUGUCGAUCUGGGCGUAGAGGGAGGCGCCAGCCCCUGAAAGAAUUCUGCAGUGAGCAGCAGCCUGCGCCCCCGAGCCACCCAGCCCUGUGACCCUGCCCUCCACACCAGUGCCCCAGCCAGGCCCUUGGAAGCAUCUGAGUGGGGACACCUUCAGGGGAUGUGGCCUGGCCAGGGAUGGAGUUGGGGACGUUUGCCUCCUGGGGGGAGGCUGUAGGAAAAGCUCCCUGGCCAAGGGCUGCUGGGUGGGGCUGGGGGCUCAGGGCCCUGAGGCUGUGGUCCCAGCCCCCCACUGUCAGGGCUUCCAUGCAGGGCGGGGACCCACCUCGGACACCCUCGCUGGCCUCCUGGAGCUCCAGGCCCAUGUAGUGCACCUGCUUUCUGGAGGACGGGCUGAUGGGGAUGUUCACGCCUGAGGGCUCCGCACCGUGGGCACCCAGGUCCUACAGGAAGGACCCCGUUCUCCAGUGCCGCCUCCCAUUCUUGUCAUCAGGACCUCGUGAGGGAAUGCACAGCCACGUGAGGCAGGGGAGGCAGCAGCCGGGACAGAGCGAGACGGAGCCCAGGUCGACGAGGGUUCGCUCACCUGAUUCCAUGAACUAAAGCAACCAACACAAUUCUGCCCCAACCCUGCCUGGUCCUGAGGCCCUGGGGAGACCCCCUUCCUGCAAAUGUGUGGUCCUAGAGGGCUGGUCCCCUCGGAAUGCCAGGACCCCUUCAUCAAGAUGAGCCACAGAACAUAGCGGCCAAGUUCUGGUGCCCAGGCAGGCACCUGGGCCAGCAGGGACAGGGCCAGCAGGGCCAGCUGCCUAGAGGAGGGGGCAUGGCUGAGGGGCUGAGGCCAAGAAGGGGUGGUGGGAGAGGCAGGUGGAGUGAGGGCCUGGGGAGAGCUGAGGGAGCGCCGGGGCCUGGCGUCUGGAAAGGGGGCCUUGAACCCAAGGGGCAGGGCCGGGGCUUGCCCACGGUGGGGCUGGACACCCCCCUGCAGCCUGGUACCUUGUUUUAGGAUUGCAUCCGUUCUUCCAAGUUUGCUCACAAGGGUGGGCGGUGAGGGGUGAGGGUGGAAGCAGGAAGGAGCAUGAGGUCUGACUGCAGGGAAAGGGGACGAAUGUUCCCAACACCACUCGGAGUCACACGGGGGCUGUAAGCAGCGCUGGGCCAGCAGUGUGUCCAUAUCUGCAUCUCCCCCAAGGCCACUGGCUCCAGGGCCCUCAGUGCUCCUCCUCCCGUCCACUCCUUGGGACUUGGAUUUUGCUUCGGCUUCUGUGAGCAUCGCUUCCAGUACCUCGGAUACUCUUUCAGUGAAGCAGCAACCGGGAAUCGGCUGGCCCUUCUGCACCCUCCUCCCAGACCCCGCCCUGGGCUGGCGGCCUGACACUACCACUUGGGCCUGGCUCACCUCUGUCCCAUGACAGACCCCAGGCACCCCUCCUGAGUCCCCUGCCUCUGUGGAAAAGAUUCACAUCCUCCAGCAGAUACUGGGCCUGUCCCCUUGAUCCCCACACCUGUGUCCCAGGGCACCCCUGUCUGGGUAAAAGACAUCUGAAGGGUAUGGGUGGCCUCGGGGAGGCAACAGCAGGCUGCCCAGGAGGACCCUUGGGGCAGGGCUGGCCCCACCACCUCUGGUCUGGUGGCCGCCUCAGCACGCUGGACUGCAGGGAUCGGUGUCCAGCCCAGGGCCAAGGCCGACUGGUGGGGGCUUUCCCAAGCUGCCCCUGCCUGCCUGUGGCCUCGCCCCCAUCCCUGACUGUCUUCUCCAGGCCUGCCUGGGCCCCUCCCCCAACCCUGGGUGUCCCCUCCAGGCCUGCCUGGACCCUGCCCCCCUGUAGGUGCCACCUGCCUGGGAAGAAGGGAUUGAGGAAUCCAGGGUUCUGCCCGCAGUGGCUCCUACUCCACAAGGAAACAGGCACAGAACUGGCCCGAUGCCACCCAUCUACCCCAUGCCAGCCGCCCUCACCUCCAGCCUCUGUCAGCCCUGCCCAAUCUUCAGCACAGCUCUGGCCCCAGUGACUGCCAGGCUUCUCUAGGGAGACCCUGGGGAUCCGUACCUUCCUAUUGCCUCCCUGCCUGGCCCUCCCUCCCAACCUGGCCCCAAAACUGCACCUGCCAGGGCACCAAUGCCCUGCCCCUCGCCGAGUCGCUUACCAGCAGCCCAGCCUCCACAGGCCCCCUCCGCUGUCUGAGGACACAGCCUCUCCUCCCUGAGCUGGGGCUCCUCGACCCCAACCCUGACUGCCUUCCUGCCAUGCCCCCUCCCAGGAACAGGUCCACACUCAGGGCUUGGGGACCCACGGACCCCAGUCUGUGUCUCCCAACCUUCAGUCCAUCCUCCAGCAGCCUGCCCUCUACGCACUGCCCUGCUGUCCACACCUGGGCUGGGACUCACCCCCACUGCCACCCAACACCCACUGCCACCCAGCAACCACUGUCACCUGUCACCCAAUAUCCACUGUCAGCCAACAACCACUUUCACCACAUUGCCCACAUUCCCUGCUGGCAGUGGGCCCCCCACCCUCCCCACCUAGCCAAACUCUGGCUGCCAUCUGCACCCACCCAGACUCCCGCCUCCCUGUCCCCGAGCUCUGGGGGACCGGCUCCAGGUGCCUACCUGAAUGUGCUGUCGCAGGUCCCGGGGCUGAGGCUGCCGCUCCCUAGACCAAAGAGAACCUGGGUCAGUGCAUCCUU